GUGCCAGCCGCCGCGGUAAUACGGAGGAUGCAAGCGUUAUCCGGAUUUAUUGGGUUUAAAGGGUGCGUAGGCGGGUUAUCAAGUCAGCGGUGAAAUUUUUCGGCUUAACCGUAAAAUUGCCGUUGAAACUGGUGAUCUUGAGUGCGAGCGAGGUAGGCGGAAUGUGCCGUGUAGCGGUGAAAUGCAUAGAUAUGGCACAGAACUCCGAUUGCGAAGGCAGCUUACUAGUACGCUACUGACGCUGAUGCACGAAGGCGUGGGGAUCAAACAGGAUUAGAUACCCUGGUAGUCCACGCAGUAAACGAUGAUUACUAGCUGUUUGCGAUAUACCGUAAGCGGCCGAGCGAAAGCAUUAAGUAAUCCACCUGGGGAGUACGUUCGCAAGAAUGAAACUCAAAUAAAUUGACGG
rnacentral:rRNA from 1 species